GAGAGUUAAACAGUACGUGAAAUUGUUGAAAGGGAAACGAUUGAGGCCAGUCAUGCCUGCGAGAAAUCAAUUAGUCGAUCGGGUUUUUGAAUCUUUUUGGCUGGUGCACUUUUUCGCGUGGCAGGUUAGCAUCAACUUUGAUGGUUGUAAAAUGGUGGUCGGAAGGUGACUCUUUUUUGAGUGUUAUAGCCGGCUGCAGAUGCAACGAUUGGGGUUGAGGUUUGCGGCAAAUGCCUUUGGGCUACUUACCUUCCUUCUGAUCUGUUCACUUUGAAAUGACAGCUUGCUGACAUUUUAGGGGGCGUUCAAUCAAUAGGGUAGAGUAGGAUAAAUUUGCCAAGGAUGCUGACGUAAUGACCUUAAACGA
rnacentral:rRNA from 1 species